CUUUGCAUUUUCACAGUGUUAUAAAAUUUAUAUGCCUAUAUAAUAUGAUCUCAAAAUAUUUCUUUGUGCUAAUCACAUUUCUCACCACUGUGGCGGAAUGCCCAGCAAAACAACUUAAGAGAAGGAAGGCAUAUUUUGGCUCCUGGUUUCUCAAGUUUCCAUUUGACAUGAUGGGGAAGGCGUUGUGCAUGCAGGAACUGUCCUGUCAGAGGUGGCAAGAGUGUGAGGUGGUGGCUGCUCACACUGUGGUUAACCAAGAAGCAGCAAGUGGAGAAUUAGAAUGAAGGGCAGGGAAAGAAAAUAUGAAAUUUGAGGUUACUUUUUAAAUUGAAUUUUAUAAUAUAAAUUAUAUAAAUACAUAUAAUAUAAAGUUUAGUGGUGGAGACCUAUAAAUGUUGCCUUUAAUUUCUUUUCAGAAUGACUUUCGCAGACUUGUGUUUAAUAAAAUUGUAAUCUUCAGUGAUACCAUAAGAAUCUUGUUAACAGUUGGUCUAUCGUUAAUUACUGGGAAGAUGGCAAACAUUUUAAAGGGUUCAGAUGUCUCCAGGAUUGUUGUGUUGACUGUUCUGUCUCUGAAAUUCCUUCUCUUAGACCCCUUUCCUUCCCUUUCUGGAAUUCACCCUGCUCUGGGAGGCUGACCUCCACAAGCAAUGUCCUCUGUGUCGCAUCUUGACAGGUUUCAUGUGAAGGUUCUCUCUAGGAAAAGAACUAAGAGACUUCAUAUAAAAUUAUAAAGAGAAUUUAUUUGGUUGGUCACACAAUCAGAGGCUGAAUGGUCCCACAAUGACUGUCUCUGUAAGCUAGAGAACUGGGAAAGCCAGUGGCUGUUUGGUCGAAGAAUUUAGAAGCCUCAGAAGAAAGGACCGAUGCAUUCCUUGUCCGAGACUGAAGAGCUGAAGCCCUCUGAAGACUCUCUGGUCAGAGUCUAUCUUCAAACACUGGAAAAAGAUAUCUAAGAGCAAUGGCAGCAGAAAACACGUGUCCACUGAAUGAGAACAGAAGACAGAUAUAAGGGGCCAGAAAAUGAAUGGAAAACUUGAGUACAAGGCUUUAGGCUGAACAGGAGCUGAACAGUGGUGUUGCCUACAGAGACCAAGAUCAAGGUUACACUGCGGGAGAGGUCUGGCUCCCACAUUCUGCCGCUGUGAGAACUGUGAACCGUUCUCAAACCAGUUUGCUUUUGACCCAGCCUGCAAAGUUCAUGGAGGAGCCAGGCUCAGAGCUUUCCUUAGACGAGAUUGGGAGUGGUCACAGGGGCUAUGGAUCAUCUGGCUUCUAAAAUAAGAAGUAUUCAUAGACAAUGUGGCAGAUACAAAGCAGAAACGGAGCCCAAAUAGUCAGAAAUGACCCGUGCCAGUGCUGGCAGGACAACUCAGCUGCUAAGGUGCUUGCCUUGAAAUACAAGGCCCUGAGUUGAAAUAUGCAGAAUUCAUAUGAACAACAACUUUUUAAAAAGUCAGGUUUGGUGGUCUACACUUGCUCUCCCAGCACUGAGGAAAUAGAUACAAGAAACUGAGCUCACUGGUCAGCCUGCCUCACCUUCUUGAUAAGUUCCAUGCCAGAGGAAAUUUUGUCUCAAAAAAGUAUACAGAGCUUGUAGAACAUAACCUUAGGUUGUCUUCUGGCAAAGACGUACACACACAUGCAUCCCCACACACCCCCACACACAAUGACCAAUGUCUUCUGUAUGUACUAUCUAUAAUGACAUCUUAAUGUUCAGCACGUAUUAUGUAGUGAAUACUUAUUGUAAUAUAUUAUAGACUUAAAAGGUUAGAGAGUUAAUGACUUCUUAACUAUGUAAUUAUUUGCUCAUUCAUUUAUUGAUCUCUCCUUUUCUGUAUCAGCUAUCAAAUAAGAGUCAUUGGCUAAGUUAUGCCGAAUGUAUUUUUAGAUUUCACCUAUGUCAACCCAGUAUAUUCCUUUCAAGUAUAUAUACACACAGCAAAGAGUUCAAAAUAUUAUGAAUCAGAUUCAUGUAAAUAUGCUAUUAUGUAUCUUUUCCAAGAAAUGGUAUUGUCAGAGAUAAUAGAUAACCUUCACAGAUGAAUUUGUUUCUGGCUCUCAGGAUUCUAAACCCAUUCUGAAGAUCAAUGUUAAUUCAAGAGUUCUCAGCUCAAAAUGCAGCUUGUUCUGAGCUCUGGGUAUGUUGCAGGAGAGGGAGAAGGGAAUGAUUUGUGACCCAGAGAAUGUGCUUUGACAGCCCAAACCCAAAACACAUUCAAAAAUUUCCACAGGGGCUUUCUAGGUGACCUUGUAGGGGAGCAAUCUUCACCAGGUAGAGGGAAGGAAAGAAACUGCCUGGGAAGACAUCUAGGUGAAAUAUAAGGAGAAAAGAACAGUGGAUUUUUACCUUGUGGCUACUUUGGGUUUUCAGAAAUACAUCUUCGUGUGUUUUGCAUACAUGGCAUCUUUGCAGACAUUUUGGAGAAUUUGGAAGGCAGAGGCAGCAUCUUCCUACAGACCUCUGAGUAAUGAAAGGAUCCCACUAGUGUCCGAGGCGGGCUGGUUCCUGCUGCCCUGGAGCUAAGUGCUGUCACUGAAGCUUCUCUCCAAAGCCUCCUUGGAAGCUGGGUGUGGAGCUGGUCCACAGGGUCUAAUUAUAAGAUUCCUGAAGUCCCAUGCCUCUGUUAGCUAGAAAUAAAGGUCAACUAACAGUUCAGCUAGAAGCCUCUGCCCUGAGUUAAGUAUGAGGGAUCAAGAGGAGUGAAGCCUUUAGCAUCAAUUCACCAACUUAUUCCUUAGAAGGGGAAACUCGGAGCAAUCGCUCCUUCUCUUCUGGAUUGUUCAAUAUCCAUAGAAAUAAAUGGAAUGCAGAUAUUCUGAAGCACCAAGAAGACAACUUCAAACUUAUUUUAAAAACAACAUAUAGUCUCUAAGUGGUAAAAUCACAAUAAACUGUGAUGCCUAUUUCUCUAAUAUAACUUUUAAAAUAGUACUUAUUAGUCAUUAUGGUCAUCCAUAGCCAGACAGCAUCAUGGGACAAAAAGUGACACAGUGUUGCUGGAAUUAGCUAGAAAUGAAGUUUAGGAACACUUGAAAAUCUUUAUUUCCUUCCCAGAAUAAACAACUAUGUACUUUCUUGUUUUUUCAAAAGAAAAUGUUAGAUUGAAUGCACAAAGGGGAAGACAGACCUCUGGGAUAUUUCUGACUUUUAAAAAGGAUCAAACUCUAAACACCACACUCUUUCAAAAUUGAUUUGAGUCUCAGAGGUUAUUUGUAGUGGGUAGCCAUUCCAGCCUUGAUCUGGAAGUUCCAGUCCCCAUUGAGGCUUCGGUAACUGUCACACCUACAAGGCAGAGCCAGGAGAGGACCCUGAAGACCCGAGAUCCGGAUGCGCCGGCUCUCUUGGUUCCUGGACCCUGGACGCUGGAGGUAGACCGAGCAGAGUUCUCCAGAGAACACCACCGGACUGCGCCAUGCCUUACCCAGACUCUGUAAACUAUCCAUUCACUUGUAAAUUACCCCACAAAAUAAACCUCCCUUUUAACUAC